rnacentral:lncRNA from 1 species
GGAGAUCAAUAUAUUGGUAAUUUUAAUUAUGAUGUAUUUCUGUCAAUUAAGACAAAGGGAUCGGAUCUUGAAUAUCAUCAAGUUUUGAUUGAAAACAAGAUUAUCAAUCUCAGAGAAUAGAUUUAAAGGUUAUAUUCCAAGUACUAUUGGAGAUCUCACUGCACUUCAUGCGUUGAAAUUAUCUCAUAAUAACUUAGAAGGUCUUAUACCAGCCACUUCGUGCGUUGAAAUUACCUCAUACUAGCUUAGAAGGUCUUAUACCAGCGCCAGUGCAACAUUUAUCAGUACUUGAAUUAUUGGAUCUCUCAUGUAACGAAAAUUGCCGAGUUCUGCAACAACUUGCAUCCGUCACAUCGCUUGAAGUCAGAAGACAAGCAAAUCCAAGAAAAUGUUGUAACUGCUAUUCUUAACCUUUCUAUAUAUGACGACAACAAAGGGAUUAUAAUGCUUAAUUGCUGUCACAACGAAACCAAACAAAUUAUUAUAAUGCAACCUCCGAGAAGGAUAGAAGCCAAGAAACAAUAUAGUCUUUUGUAGUGAAUUUAGGUAAUGUUAGUACAAUGAUUAUUUGGUUUACGUAUUUCAGACAUGAUUAUUUGGUUUACGUAUGUCAGACUCCAAUUUAGAAACAACUAGAACCUACAAUAUCUCAGACUUAUGAGAUACCAGAAAAUGUAUGAUGGAGUCGUGUUAUAUCGUAUGUAUUUCAAGCUAUUUACUAGACCGUAUCUGGAAAGGCUUCCAUUAAGUAUCUUCACCUUCUUCCUAAAAAGUGAUCUCUGGAGCAUAGACUCAUAAACUAGUGCAACAAUACCAUGCAUCUGCAAAUUUAUUCCAGAAAUAUACCAUGGAUUUGCAAGUGUUAUAUUAAUAUAUAAUAGCAGUAUGUAAGGAUCGGAAACCCGGGUAGUACGGAAUUUAGUCAAACAAUGUUAUAAUGACAAUAACAAAGACAAUGCAAGUUGAUAAUAAUGGUAAUUAAAGCAUAUAAAGAAGGCAUCAAUUUAACGUGGUUCGGUCAUUGUGACCUACGUCCACAAGCGGAAAGAAAUAAUUUCACUAUAGCAACAAGAGUACAAAAGAGAGCAUAAAAUUAGAGUAAAUACUCUAAUUAAUUCCAAAUAUCCCAAGAUAAUAACCACACAAGAUCACUCCAAAGAAAAGGUUCACGCAAGUAUUUUUCAGCACUCAACUCUCUUAUAAAACCUCUAUAAUGAAAGAAAGAAAAGGCAAGAGACGUUUGUCUCAAACUUAGGUGUAUUUGAUAUGGACAUUUGCUAGCCUAUUUAUAAGAAAAUAGAUGGUCAUUGUAUGGAAUAUGAUUGGCCAGCAAGGCCUUUAAUGAAUGGACAUAAAAUGUCCAACAAGUGACCAAUGAAAGACCAUAGAAAAGCCAACAAGGCUUAUAGUCUAUGGCCAAAAGUAGGCCACGUAUAUCACAAAUCUCCACCUUGGACUAGUUUUGGCUGAUAUAAUAAAAUUGCUCUUCGUUCUCCGCAAAAGCCCCAGUGGGCGAAAUCAUUCUUCAUAAAUGCCAAUCAAGUUCACACAAAGUUUGAACUUGAAAACUGGAAGAGGCUUCGUAAACAUGUCAGCAGGAUUGUCUCUAGUGUUGAUCUUCUGAACAAAGACUUUUCCUUCAGUAAUGGUUUCUCGGAUGAAGUGAUAUUUGAUAUCAAUGUGUUGCGUCCUCUCAUGAUACAUCUGAUUUUUAGUCAAGUGAAUUGGACAUUGACUAUCACAGAAAAUGGUAAUACCACCUUGGUGUGAACUGAGUUCAGCAAAUAGACCCUUCAACCAUAAGGCUUCUUUGAUCGCCUCGGUCACUGCCAUAUAUUCUGCUUCGGUAGUAGAUAAAGCUACUACAUGUUGUAAUGUAGUUUUUCAACUAAUAGCGCAACCACCAAUGCAAACUACAUAGCAUGUCAGUGAUCUUCUUUUGUCAAGAUCACCUGCAUAAUCUGAGUCUACAAAACCAACCAAAGUAUUAGUAUUUCUUCCAAACUCCAAACAUGUGUUUGAAGUACCUUGCAAGUAUCUGAGAAUCUAUUUCAUAGCCUGUCAAUGUGCUAUACCAGGGCAAGCCAUAUAUCGUCUUACCACGCUCACUACUUCUGAAAUGUCUAGACGUGUACAAACCAUUGCAUACAUAAUACUGCCGACUGCACUGGAAUAAGGUACAUGUGACAUAUACCUCUCUUCUUCCUCUGACUGCGGGGACUGAGCAGCUGAUAACUUAAAAUAAGUAGCAAGAGGGGUACUCACUGGUUUAGCAUCUUUCAUGCCAAACCUCCCCAAGACUUUUUCCAAGUACUUCUUCUGGGUCAGGAAUAGCUUGUUGGCUCCUCGAUCUCUUUUGAUCUCCAUGCCAAGGAUUUUCUUAGCUGCUCCCAAAUCUUUCAUCUCAAAUUUACUUUUCAACUGACUUUUCAAAUUGUGAAUUUCUAUUAAAUCCUUAGCAAAAAUGAUCAUGUCAUCAACAUAUAAUAAUAGGUACACAAAUGAACCAUCAUUUAACUUUCGGAAGUAAACACAACUAUCAUACAUGCUCCUUGAAUAACCAUGACCCAAAAUAAAGGAAUCAAACCUUUUAUACCAUUGUCUUGGAGACUGCUUUAAUCCGUAAAAGAAUUUCUUCAACAAGAAAACAUGAUCUUCUUUUCCUUGAAUUUUAAAUCCUUCGGGUUGAUGCAUGUAUAUUUGUUUCUCAAGUUCGCCAUUUAAGAAAGCUGUCUUAACGUCAAGUUGUUCUAAUUCCAAAUCAUACAUGGCAACGAUGGCAAACAAGAUACUAAUAGAGCUAUGUUUAACAACAGGUGAGAAAAAAUUAUUAAAAUCAACUCCUUGUACCUGACUAUAACUCUUUGCAACUAAUCGUGCCUUAUACUUUGCAUCUUAAACCCCUGGAAUUCCAUUUUUUUCUUGAAUACCCAUUUGCAACCAACAAUUCUUUUUUCCUGAAGGCGGCUUCACAAGAGACCAAGUACCAUUCAUGUGGAGAGACUCAAUUUCUUCAUUCAUUGCAAUCAGCCACUUGGCUGAGUCGGCACCAGAAACUGCUUCUGAAUAUUUUGAUGGUUCUCCAAUUUCUUCAGUUUCCUCUGCAACUGAAAAAGCAAAUGCAACAUAAUCUCUAAACCCUAAUGGUUGUUUACCUUCUCUUCUUGGUCUAUAUUUGGCUAUAGAAUACUCCUCUUCUUCUGGUUCAACUUCAGGAAUUUCAGCUUCUGGCUCAACUUUAGGAAUUUCAGCUUCUGGCUCAACUUCAGGAGUUUCAACUGUAUUUAGCUCCACAGUUGAUGAGCUUGGCUCAGAAGAAAUGCUAAUCUCAACCUUCACCUCUUUUUGUGUACUCUUUCCUUUAUCUAUAUUACAAGAACUAGAAGACUUUUUUCUAGGAUGUAAUAUAGAGGAUUCAUUAAAGGUUACAUCUCUGCUAAUUAUAAAUUUUGGUGUCGUGGAUCAGGAUACCAUAAUCGGUAUCCUUUCACCCCAGAUGCAUACCCAAAGAAAAUAUACUUUUUAGCCCUUGGCUCUAAUUUUUCAUCAUUUACAUGCAUGUAUGGAGGGCAACCAAAUAUCUUUAAAUUAGAAUAAUUAGCAGGAAUACCUGACCACAUUUCCUCUGGAGUCUUAAAGCUCAAAGGUGCAGAAGGAGCUCGGUUGACAAUAUAACAGGCUGUAGAGAUAGCUUCUGCCCAAAAGGCAUUUGUCAACCCAGCAUUUGAAAUCAUGCAACGAGCCCUUUCCAAAAGAUUUCUAUUCAUCCUUUCUGCCACACCAUUUUGCUGAGGUGUUAUUCUCACAGUACGAUGUCGAGCAAUUCCUUCAUUCUUGCAAAAUUCGUUGAAUUCAUCAUUACAAAAUUUCAAUCCAUUAUUUGUUCUAAGCCGCUUAACCUGUUUUCCUAUUUGCUUCUCAAUCAAAACUUUCCAUGUUUUGAAAUUUAAGAAAACAUUACUUUUAUUUUUUAGAAAAUAAAUCCAAACUUUCCUUGAAUAAUCAUCAAUGAAAGUUAACAUAUACCUGGCACCAUCUUUUGAUGGGGUACAUGAAGGACCCCAAAGAUCUGAAUGAAUGUAAUCCAAAGUACCUUUUGUUCUAUGAAUCGCUGGAGAUUUGAAGCUGACUCUUUACUGCUUCCCGAACACACAAUGUUCACAGAACUCUAUAUUUCUGGUACUUUGAUCAUAUAAGAGACCUCUUUUGCUGAGGAUGGAAAGAUUUUUUUUCUCCCAUAUGCCUCAAUUGCAUAUGCCACAAUUUGGUGAUGUCAGAAUCUGAUUUAUCUGAUAUUGAAUCUACAGCAGCACCUGUAACAGUAGAUACCAAAAGAGUAUACAAUGUACCAGAUUUGCGUGAUUUCAUGAUCACAAGAGCACCAUGAGAAAUUUUCAGAACUUCACCUUCACCUGUGUACUUACACCCAAGAGAUUCUAGAGUGCCCAAAGAGAUAAGAUUUUUCUUCAAGUCAAGAACAUGUCUAACAUCGGUGAGAGUUCUCACCACACCAUCAUGCAUUUUGAUUCGGACUGUACCUUUUUCAAUAACUUUACAGGCAAUAUUGUUGUUGCCCAUCAAGACAACUCCACCUCCAAUAGAUUCAUAUGUGGUAAAUAUAUCCCGAUUGGGACACAUAUGAUAAGAACAACUCGAAUUUAAAAUUCACUCAUUGUUAGAUUUGAAACUAUUAUUAGUUGCUAAAAAAAUAGUUCCCUUAGUCUAAUCAGCAGCUACACUUGCUUUGGCAGUGUCAGUAUUUUUGUGCUCAUUUUUCUUGUUUGUAUGCUUUUCUUUGUUUUUCAAUUUAAAGCAUUCAAAAAUAAUGUGACCUUUCUUAUGACAAUAUUUGCACAUGACAUUUCUGUAUCUAGAUUUUGACCUUGAUUUAUGUUUUUCACUACUUGAAUCUUUUUUAUUGGAUCUACCUCUUAUGAAUAAGCAUUUCCCUUGGUUCCUACUAGUUUUCCCAGUAAUAUCUCUAUCUAUUUGUUCUUUUGAUUUCAAAAUAGAUUUGAUAUUUUUAUAAGAGAUAUUACCCUUUCUAUAAAUCAUAAUAUCUCUUAUAUGUUUAAACGACUGGGUAGGAAACAAGCAAUAACACAGCUUGAUCCUCAUCUUUGAUUUCAGCAUCUAUGUUACUUAAAUCCAUAAGAAGAGAAUCAAAAGUAUCAAGAUCUGUAAGUAUAGAGGUACCUUCAGCCAUACGAAAAGUGAAGAGUUUUUGCUUUAGGUAAAGCCUGUUUUCUACUGUUCUUUUCAUAUAUAUGGUUUUAAGCUUUUCCCGUAUGCCUUUGGCUGAGAUUUCUAUUGCAACUUCACGCAAAACCUCAUUUGAAAGAUUUAAAAUAAUACCUGUUUUUGUCUUUUUGUCUAUGACGGCAAACUCCUCGUCCGUCAUUUUAUCCGGCAUCUUCUCCUUUCCUUGCAAUGCCAAAUCUAAGCCAUCGUGAAUUAGGAUAGCUUCCAUCUUUAAUUUUCACAUUCCAAAGUUUGCAUUUCUGUCAAAUUUCUCAACAUAAGACUUUGUUAGAGUUAUUUUGGCUAUUUAAACUAACCCAGUUAGAUCUGGCACUAAUACCAAUUUGUUAGGAUCGGGAACCCGGAUAGUGCGAAAUUUAGCCAAACAAUGUUAUAAUGACAAUAACAAAGACAAUACAAGUUAAUAAUAAUGGUAAUUAAAGCAUAUAAAGAAGGCACCAAUUUAACAUGGUUCGGUCAGUGUGACCUACGUCCACAAGCGGAGAGGAACAAUUUUACUAUAGUAACAAGAGUACAAAAAAGAGUAUAAAAUUAGAGUAAAUACUCUAAUUAAUCCCAAAUACCCCAAGAUAAUAACCUCACAAGAUCACUCCAAAGAAAAGGUUCACGCAAGUAUUUCCCAAUACUCAACUCUCUUAUAAAACCUCUAUAAUGAAAGAAAGAAAAGGCAAGAGACGUUUGUCUCAAACUUAGGUGUAUUUGAUAUGGACAUUUGCUAGCCUAUUUAUAAGAAAAUAGAUGGUCAUUGU